rnacentral:rRNA from 1 species
CACUUAGAUGUUCUGGGCCGCACGCGUGCUACACUGAGUGGAUCAGCGGGUCAGGUUGCGCGAAAGUGUUUCCUAAUCUUGAAAUCCGCUCGUGAUGGGGAUUGACGGUUGCAAUUUUCCGUCAUGAACGAGGAAUACCUUGUAAGCGCGGGUCAUCAUCCCGCGCUGAAUACGUCCCUGCCCUUUGUACACACCGCCCGUCGCUCCUACCGAUUGAGUGGUCCGGUGAGGCUUUGGGAUCUGAGCGGAAAGAGCGUUUCGCUGUUUCUGCUCGGAAAACUCAGUCGAACCUUAUCAUUUAGAGGAAGGAGAAGUCGUAACA